CCUACGGGAGGCUGCAGUGGGGAAUAUUGGACAAUGGGGGCAACCCUGAUCCAGCCAUGCCGCGUGUGUGAAGAAGGCCCUCGGGUUGUAAAGCACUUUCAGUGAGGAAGAACGCCUGGUGGUUAAUACCCAUCAGGAAAGACAUCACUCACAGAAGAAGCACCGGCUAACUCCGUGCCAGCAGCCGCGGUAAUACGGAGGGUGCGAGCGUUAAUCGGAAUUACUGGGCGUAAAGCGCGCGUAGGUGGCUUGAUAAGCCGGUUGUGAAAGCCCCGGGCUCAACCUGGGAACGGCAUCCGGAACUGUCGAGCUAGAGUGCAGGAGAGGAAGGUAGAAUUCCCGGUGUAGCGGUGAAAUGCGUAGAGAUCGGGAGGAAUACCAGUGGCGAAGGCGGCUUUCUGGACUGAAACUGACACUGAGGUGCGAAAGCGUGGGUAGCAAACAGGAUUAGAUACCCGAGUAGUC
rnacentral:rRNA from 1 species